GACCCAGGCCACCUGCACGCCCCGGCCAGGGGCCGCUGUUCCCCGAGGGCACCGUUCUCACCCUGAUGGACGUGUAAAACGACCCCUCGGAAAGGCACAUUUGUGGAGACCCACACAGGCGUGGCGGCCCGGGGAAGGGGGCAGGACUAAGCACAGGCGGGCACCAGGGACAGUCCGGGACUGGACUAUGGCCGUGGCUGGGUCGCGGCAUAAAUUCCCCACGAGAAACUGGACUGCAACAAAGUGGGUG